rnacentral:lncRNA from 1 species
UCCUUAACCGUUACGUUUCUGCAGUGGCUUAUGCUUAGCAAGAUCUGCCCAUAUAGCUACUGCCCCCAGUGAUGUAGUUGUUAUGAUUCGGCACAUAAAGUUGUCACUCUCAUAUAGUUAUAUCAAUGAACGAGAGGGGGAGUGAAUGAGAGCCGUAAAUUUUGUCUCAAAAUAUUUUCGGCCACUGUCUCAAAUCACCGCCCAACACAAGCGAGAAUCCCGAAACUAAAUUACUCAAGCGAACCGGUGACAAGAGCACUUAGAUAAAAUUUUUGAAACAAUAGAAAGUUAACACAACAGACGAAACACGAAUUAGAGCUCAAAUGAUUAAACUACGCAUUUUUUAGAUAAAGGAUAGUUUAUAUCCAAACUUCAUCUACCAUAGGGUAGAAUCAGACCAAUUAUUACAAAGUUCGGUCAGACGACCAGUACACUUGAGAUAACUCAAUUUAUGGAAACAAAACGGAAAGAAAGCGUUUGGCUAUGAAAGACCAAGAAACCUAGUUGACAGCCAUCCAUUAGAUCUAAAGAAAUGCAGAGUUGAAGUUUCCAAAAACUGUCCAGCAAGCAGAAGCUGGUCUUUUAGUACCUCACACCGCUACAGUCUUACCCACUAACGAAGCCAAUGGGUUCCUCUAAUACCUGCAAAAAAGUUUUCGGUCUGCAUUUGUCAAAAAACCACUUCAUUUCUUGUUAUCCAAAUUGUCCAAACUAGGGUCAUAGCUGCCAUUAAUAAUAAGGAAUUAAAAGUGUUACUAGUCCUCUUAAGACCAAUUAACAAAAAACAAUCAUUUAUACUAAGAGGAGGUGCAAUUCCAAACAACAGGCGUACCACACGCCACAAGAAUUAGUAUAAAAACAUUCGAAUAAGAGGUGGUGAAUAGUUUUAGGAGAAUCACAGAACACAUAUCUUGUGUCUCUAGCCUAGUUACGUUGGCAAGAUUAUCUUUGGUUAAAACAACACCUCUUUUUAAAUAUAAAAAAAAGACUUUUAUACAAAAGGGAGCCUCGCCUAGUCAAGAUAUAGGGGUCACCUUCAUCCAACAAACAUGCCAAGUCAGAUUUGUCGUGAUCAUUUUGGAAUAAUCCCAAGCAUCUGAUUUCACCACCAAAGGUGAUGAUUCUAUUAAUAUAUUACUUUAUUAAACAAUAAAAAACAGAAAGUGGCUUAAAUGAAAUGAACAAUACUAGGACCUUGUUUAAUUCACAAAAAUUUUUGGAUUUGACUAUUAUAGCAUUUUCGUUUUAUUCAGCAAUUAGUGUUCAAUCAUGGACUAAUUAGACUUAAAAGAUUUAUCUCACAAUUUAUAGAUAAAUUAUACAAUUAGUUAUUUUUUAUCUAUAUUUAAUGUUUUGUAUAUGCGUACAAAGAUUUUUUAUCAAGUGGGCGAUCAAAUUGUUAACAUCCAUCCGUCCCGCCCAACACUAACAUCAGCUUUUGCAGUGCACCAACCGCUAGCCUUUUCGUUUAUUACUAAAUCCAAGUUAUAGGUGCGGAGAGUGUUGCCGAUCGAACUUCCAUGUCAUGGGAUAAAUUGGGGCUCAGUAAUCUAAAAGAAAGUGAGUUGUUUAAUUUCCAACGUAUAGAGGCUCCAAAGAGAAAUUCAUACCAAUACACUUGUGAUUGGAAGAAAAUGAAUUGCCAUUGCCAAUAUACUUGAUUAAUUUGUACUUAAUUAUGUAAUUCGAAAUAAAAUAGCAUGCAUUACAAGACGCAAGAGCCGGUCAGUGGCCGCUGCCAAAUUGUAUUUUGGUUUCUUUAUGAGCGAGUCUUUGCUUGUCGUCUCGUGCAACGAGAACGCUUCCUGCGGUGCCUCCACUCUAGCAUCCAACAAGGCUCCGGUGUGGAAUUUAUAAACUAGGACACAGCAAGCAAGUCGAUCGAAGUUGCCAUGCACUUUCCUUCCCACCUUGCACUGUCACCAAAAGACCUACUCCAACCACCAUCUUCUUCCCUGAAUCAACACUAUUUUCCUUCCCCAGCUCAAGCAGCCAAACAGAAGACACCAACCAGCUACUGCGAUUCUCGCCGGUAAUUUCUUUCCUGCCCACCUUGCAGUGUUAUUCCUACUCUAGCAUCCAUCUCACUGCUCCUCCUUUCUUCAAUCACUGGCGAGCCACAAUCCAGCAGUAGUAUAAGGUGGGUCAGGUCGAAGAUGUCCAUACUGAUACCUGUCUAACCAUAAACCAAGAUUGAGAUCCUAGUCCACGACCAAGAAAGAACAAAGUGGCACUGCCUCACCAAUUCUGGCCAUUGCACAGCUCGUCAACUUGAGGUUUGUUUCCUUAACCGUUACGUUUCUGCAGCUAUAUAGUUGUGCACAUAUAGUGCCCACUGUGUUGUAAUUGUUAUAUGUCUCUGCAGCUGCUUAUGAGUAUCUAGAUCUGUGCAUAUAUAGUUGCCACUGUCAUGUACUUGUAUCAAUAAUGAACGAGAAGUCAGUACUAGUGCCGCGAUGGCUGCAUGUGUAGAUGGAAGAUGAUUGAAAAUAUUUGUUGUAUAAAAUUGAAAUGCAAUGUUGAAAUUAACAUAUGUUCUAAUUUCGUUACAGCAAAAACGGAAGUUCUCAAUCAUGGCCGGUGUCCUAGAUGCUUUGGCAUCCUACAUCCAAAACAUGCUUCUGCAGAUGGCGGCAGAAGAGGUGCAUAUGUUGCUUGGGGUGUCCGGUGAGAUUGACAACAUGGACAUCAAGCUUCGGGAUCUAAAGAACAUCCUUGCUGAUGCUGAUAGGAGGAACAUCACUGACAAAAGUGUCCUAGCAUGGGGGAUAGAGCUAAGGAAUGCUAUGUAUGNNNNNNNNNNNNNNNNNNNNNNNNNNNNNNNNNNNNNNNNNNNNNNNNNNNNNNNNNNNNNNNNNNNNNNNNNNNNNNNNNNNNNNNNNNNNNNNNNNNNACGGAAAGAAAGCGUUUGGCUAUGAAAGACCAAGAAACCUAGUUGACAGCCAUCCAUUAGAUCUAAAGAAAUGCAGAGUUGAAGUUUCCAAAAACUGUCCAGCAAGCAGAAGCUGGUCUUUUAGUACCUCACACCGCUAC